AUCUCUCUCUCUAAAUUCUUCUUAUCAUUUAAUGUUGUUGAGUUCAUACUUGUAAUAAAUUCAUCAUCACUAACAUCAAGUAAUCAUCAUCUCAAAUCUUGGAAAGUCAAAUCGGAAGGAAUCCUCAUAAAUAGCUCAAUUUUGGGUUGUGACCUUGGAGAUGAUUUCAUAAGGUCGUGAACAUUGAAGAAUUCAGGACUUUCGAAACUCGUCAAAUACCUAUAAAUCAACUAUAACUUGACGAUAUAAGGCAAAGGUGAACAUGUGAAUCAAAGACAUGUUGGAUGAUAAUUGAUUGUUUGCAUGCUAGGAGUGGACUUGGACUUGACUGUGGAUCCGUGAUUCAUUGUCCCUGCUUAUGGGUUAUGCUUAGGAUCAUAUACCAUCUUUUGUACUCUCUUUUGUAAACGUUUGAUGGUCGUGCUCCUUAUGCAUUUUUGUAUGGUCUCGGAUUUGUAAUUGAUUAACUUGGAUGGAUUCCCAAUCCUUUUAA